rnacentral:rRNA from 1 species
CCCUUAGAUGUUCUGGGCCGCACGCGCGCUACACUGAUGCAUUCAACGAGUCUAAAACCUGGUCUGAGAGGGCUGGGUAAUCUUUUGAAAGUGCAUCGUGAUUGGGAUAGAUGAUUGCAAUUCUUCAUCUUCAACGAGGAAUGCCUAGUAAACGCAAGUCAUCAGCUUGCAUUGAUUACGUCCCCGCCCUUUGUACACACCGCCCGUCGCUCCUACCGAUUGAAUGAUCCGAUGAAUAUCAUGGAUUGAGGAUGCAAGUAGGUUCGCCUAUCUUCAUCUUCGAGAAGUGAAGUAAAUCUUAUCAUUUAGAGGAAGGAGAAGUCGUAACA